UACGGAAGGUGCAAGCGUUGUUCGGAAUGACUGGGCGUAAAGCGCACGUAGGCGGACUCGUAAGUCGAAGGUGAAAACCCCGGGCUCAACCCGGGAACUGCCUGCGAAACUGUGAGCCUUGAAUGCUCGAGAGGUCAGUGGAAUUCCUGGUGUAGGAGUGAGAUCCGUAGAUAUCAGGAGGAACAUCAGCGGCGAAGGCGGCUGGCUGGCGAUGCAUUGACGCUGAGGUGCGAAAGCGUGGGGAGCAAACAGG
rnacentral:rRNA from 1 species